CUGGUUGAUCCUGCCAGUGGUCAUAUGCUUGUUUCAAAGCCUAAGCCAUGCAUGUCUAAGCACAGCUUGUAAAAGUGAAGCCGCGAAUAGCUCAUUACAACAGCCGUUGUUUAUUGGAUCUCCAUUCUCUACUUGGAAUAACUGUGGUAAUUCUAGAGCUAAUACAUGCGACCAAGGCCUGAACUUACGUGAUGGCUGCAUUUAUUAGAACAAGACCAACCGGCUUCGGCCGUUCUCUGGUGACUCUGAAUAACUGAGUGAAUCACAUGGUCUAGUACCGGUGAUGUAUCUUUCAAGUGUCUGCCUUAUCAACUUUCGAUGGUAGUUUAUGUGCCUACCAUGGUUGUAACGGGUAACGGAGAAUAAGGGUUUGACUCCGGAGAGGGAGCCUGAGAAACGGCUACCACUUCUAAGGAAGGCAGCAGGCGCGCAAAUUACCCAUUCUCGGCACGAGGAGGUAGUGACGAAAAAUACCAAGCUGGGAUCCAUUGGGUUCCGGCAUUGGAAUGAGAACAAUAUAAAUCUUUUAACGAGGAUCUAGUGGAGGGCAAGUCUGGUGCCAGCAGCCGCGGUAAUUCCAGCUCCGCAAGUGUAUAUCUAUGUUGCUGCGGUUAAAAAGCUCGUAGUUGGAUCUGCGUGUUUAGCGUCCGGUUCAACUUUUGGUUGUUACUGGAACGCGACACAGAUGUGCUGGUUUGGUGUUGAUGCUCUUAACCGGGUGUCAGCGUCGGCUAGCGAGUUUACUUUGAAAAAAUUAGAGUGCUCAAAACAGGCGUUUCGCCUGAAUAUUUCUGCAUGGAAUAAUAGAAUAGGACUUCGAUUCUAUUCUGUUGGUUUUCGGAAUGCGAAGUAAUGAUUAAGAGGGACAGACGGGGGCAUUCGUACUGCGACGUUAGAGGUGGAAUUCUUGGAUCGUCGCAAGACGUACUACUGCGAAGGCAUUUGCCAAGAAUGUUUUCAUUAAUCAAGAACGAAAGUUAUGGGUUCGAAGGCGAUCAGAUACCGCCCUAGUCAUAACCGUAAACGAUUCAAACUGGGCGCCCGUCGGUGUUUUCAUUGACCCGACGGGAACCCUCCCGGAAACGAAAGUGUUCGUGUUCCGGGGGAAAUAUGUCUGCAAAGAGGAAACUUAAAGGAAUUGACGGAAGGGCACCACCAGGGGUGGAGCCUGCGGCUUAAUUUGACUCAACACGGGGAAACUCACCCGGCCCGGACACCGUAAGGAUUGACAGAUUGAGAGCUCUUUCUUGAUUCGGUGGGUGGUGGUGCAUGGCCGUUCUUAGUUGGUGGAGUGAUUUGUCUGGUUUAUUCCGAUAACGAACGAGACUCUGGCCUGCUAACUAGUGUUCAGAUCUUCACGUCUGCUUCGCUUCUUAGAGGGACAGGCGGCUUCCAGCCGCAUGAAAAAGAGCAAUAACAGGUCUGUGAUGCCCUUAGAUGUCCGGGGCUGCACGCGCGCUACACUGAAAGAAUCAGCGUGUACGUUACCUGGCUCGAAAGAGUCGGGUAAUCCGGUGAAAAUCUUUCGUGAUUGGGAUCGGGACUUGCAAUUAUUUCCCUUGAACGAGGAAUCCCUAGUAAGUGCGGGUCAUCAGCUCGCGCUGAUUACGUCCCUGCCCUUUGUACACACCGCCCGUCGCUGCCCGGAACUGAGCCGUUUCGAGAAACAUGGAGACUGUUUACUUGAGGUCUUCACGGACUUUUUGUAGAUGGAAACCGCUUUAAUCGCAGCGGCUUGAACCGGGCAAAAGUCGUAACAAGGUUUCCGUAGGUGAACCUGCGAUA
rnacentral:rRNA from 1 species